UACGGAGGGGGCUAGCGUUGUUCGGAAUUACUGGGCGUAAAGCGCGCGUAGGCGGUCCUGCAAGUCGGGGGUGAAAGCCCGAGGCUCAACCUCGGAACUGCCUUCGAUACUGCGGGUCUCGAGUCCGGGAGAGGUGAGUGGAAUUCCUAGUGUAGAGGUGAAAUUCGUAGAUAUUAGGAAGAACACCAGUGGCGAAGGCGGCUCACUGGCGCGGUACUGACGCUGAGGUGCGAAAGCCAGGGGAGCGAAUGGG
rnacentral:rRNA from 1 species